CCUUCAGUUCGGCUGGAUCGGAGACAGGUGCUGCAUGGCUGUCGUCAGCUCGUGUCGUGAGAUGUUGGGUUAAGUCCCGCAACGAGCGCAACCCUCGCCCUUAGUUGCCAGCAUUUAGUUGGGCACUCUAGGGGGACUGCCGGUGAUAAGCCGAGAGGAAGGUGGGGAUGACGUCAAGUCCUCAUGGCCCUUACGGGCUGGGCUACACACGUGCUACAAUGGUGGUGACAGUGGGCAGCGAGAUCGCAAGGUCGAGCUAAUCUCCAAAAGCCAUCUCAGUUCGGAUUGCACUCUGCAACUCGAGUGCAUGAAGUUGGAAUCGCUAGUAAUCGUGGAUCAGCAUGCCACGGUGAAUACGUUCCCGGGCCUUGUACACACCGCCCGUCACACCAUGGGAGUUGGUUUUACCCGAAGGUGCUGUGCUAACCGCAAGGAGGC
rnacentral:rRNA from 1 species